rnacentral:rRNA from 1 species
GAUGAACGCUGGCGGCGUGCCUAAUACAUGCAAGUCGAGCGAACAGACGAGGAGCUUGCUCCUUUGACGUUAGCGGCGGACGGGUGAGUAACACGUAGGUAACCUACCUAUAAGACUGGGAUAACUUCGGGAAACCGGAGCUAAUACCGGAUAAUAUUUCGAACCGCAUGGUUCGAUAGUGAAAGAUGGCUUUGCUAUCACUUAUAGAUGGACCUGCGCCGUAUUAGCUAGUUGGUAAGGUAACGGCUUACCAAGGCAACGAUACGUAGCCGACCUGAGAGGGUGAUCGGCCACACUGGAACUGAGACACGGUCCAGGCUCCUACGGGAGGCAGCAGUAGGGAAUCUUCCGCAAUGGGCGAAAGCCUGACGGAGCAACGCCGCGUGAGUGAUGAAGGUCUUCGGAUCGUAAAACUCUGUUAUUAGGGAAGAACAAACGUGUAAGUAACUGUGCACGUCUUGACGGUACCUAAUCAGAAAGCCACGGCUAACUACGUG